rnacentral:rRNA from 1 species
AACGAACGCUGGCGGCAUGCCUAACACAUGCAAGUCGAACGAACCGUCCGGGGUUAGUGGCGCACGGGUUUGGAACGCGUGGGAAUAGGCCCUUUGCUUUGGAAUAACUAAGGGAAACUUGUGCUAAUACCGGAUGAUGUCUACGGACCAAAGAUUUAUUGUCAAGGGAUGAGCCAGCGUAGGAUUAGGUUGUUGGUAGGGUAAAGGACUACCAAGCCGAGGAUUCUUAGCUGGUAUGAGAGGAUGAUCAGCCACACUGGGAUUGAGAGACGGCCGGGACUCCUACGGGAGGCAGCAGUGGGGAAUAUUGGACAAUGGGCGCAAGGCUGAUCCAGCAAGGCCGCGUGAGUGAUGAAGGCACUCGGGACGUAAAGCUCUUGUACCAGGGAUGAUAAUGACAGUACCUGGAGAAUAAGCUCCGGCUAACUCCGUG